AUACGGAGGGUGCAAGCGUUAAUCGGAAUUACUGGGCGUAAAGGGUUCGUAGGCGGGUAUUUAAGUCAGAUGUGAAAGCCCCGGGCUCAACCUGGGAAUUGCAUCUGAUACUGGGUAACUAGAGUUUAGGAGAGGAGUGUGGAAUUUCCGGUGUAGCGGUGAAAUGCAUAGAGAUCGGAAGGAACAUCAGUGGCGAAGGCGGCACUCUGGCUUAAAACUGACGCUGAGGAACGAAAGCGUGGGUAGCAAACAGGAUUAGAAACCCUAGUAGUCC
rnacentral:rRNA from 1 species